rnacentral:misc_RNA from 1 species
GAUGAAGAACGUAGCGAAAUGCGACAAGUAAUGUGAAUUGCAGAAUUCCGUGAAUCAUCGAAUCUUUGAACGCACAUUGCGCCCUCUGGUAUUCUGGAGGGCAUGCCUGUCCGAGCGUCAUUGCUAUACCUCAAGCCCGGCUUGUGUGAUGGACUCACUGUCUUAUUGGACAGUAGCCCCAAAGGCAGUGGCAGGGUCGCAGUCCGGUCUUUUAAAUGCGUAUGGGGCAUUGUCACCCGCUUGAAAGCUGGCCGACCCUUUAAGCCUAUCAUAAGCGGAGGA